CUAUUAUAAUAGUAUAUUCUUAAUUUUGUCCCAAUUAUUAUAUGCAUCUUAGGUGACUUCCUAGGAUAUAGCAGUAUCACCCAAGGAGGGAACUUGAAUAGAAGAAAAGUGCUUUUAGCAUGAGGUCUGGAGGAAUGCCAGCAAUGAAAGUGAACAUGAAGUAAGAGGCACUGAGACACCGAUCUGAAGGCACUGAUGGGAGCAAUAGAAGAGGAGAAAGAGAGUGGAGCCUGCACCCAACACCCUUGGCCUUUCAGCACACUGGCCGCAGGAAAAGUGGUGGCAGCUUACUAUGGCCAGUGCAGCUGUGCACAAACGGAAGAAGGCGCACAGCCCAGGACAGAGAGAGAAGGGGGAUGUGCACAUCCUUGAAAAAGCCUGAGACUCUCCAGCUGGCUGCUGGUGAGGCCCUGUCCCUGUGAAAGCCAGUGUGUAAAGGCUAGGGGAGGCAUCUGUUUCUACAAGCAUGCAGACACAAAUGUAAAACUGGGAGAUACAUGGAGAGUAAAGAAAUAUGACCCAACUAGAAAACAAAUCUCUAGCGACCAAGACUAAAGAAAUGGAGAUUUAUGAAUUUCCUGAAAAAUAAUUCAAAAUAAUCAUCUUCAAGAAGCUACAUCUUAAAGAUGCUUUUAUGAGUUACAAAAUAACAUGUAUACACAACUAAACAAAAUCAGGGAAAUGAUACAUUAAAAAUGUGAAUAUCAAGGAAGAGAAAGAAGGCAUUAAAAAAGAAAAAAAAAG